rnacentral:rRNA from 1 species
UACGUAGGUGGCGAGCGUUGUCCGGAUUUACUGGGCGUAAAGGGAGCGUAGGCGGCUUUUUAAGUGAGAUGUGAAAUACCCGGGCUCAACUUGGGUGCUGCAUUUCAAACUGGAAGUCUAGAGUGCAGGAGAGGAGAGUGGAAUUCCUAGUGUAGCGGUGAAAUGCGUAGAGAUUAGGAAGAACACCAGUGGCGAAGGCGACUCUCUGGACUGUAACUGACGCUGAGGCUCGAAAGCGUGGGGAGCAAACAGG